rnacentral:rRNA from 1 species
GACGAACGCUGGCGGCGUGCUUAACACAUGCCAGUCGAACGAAGAGCGAUGGACGCUUGCUUCUAUCAAUCUUAGUGGCGAACGGGUGAGUAACGCGUAAUCAACCUGCCCUUCAGAGGGGAACCACAGUUGGAAACGACUGCUAAUACCGCAUACGAUCUAAUCUCGGCAUCGAGGAUAGAUGAAAGGUGGCCUCUACAUGUAAGCUAUCACUGAAGGAGGGGAUUGCGUCUGAUUAGCUAGUUGGAGGGGUAACGGCCCACCAAGGCGAUGAUCAGUAGCCGGUCUGAGAGGAUGAACGGCCACAUUGGGACUGAGACGCGGCCCAGACUCCUACGGGAGGCAGCAGUGGGGAAUCUUCCGCAAUGGACGAAAGUCUGACGGAGCAACGCCGCGUGAGCGAUGACGGCCUUCGGGUUGUAAAGCUCUGUUAAUCGGGACGAAAGGCCUUCUUGCGAAUAGUGAGAAGGAUUGACGGUACCGGAAUAGAAAGCCACGGCUAACUACGUG